rnacentral:rRNA from 1 species
AUUGAACGCUGGCGGCAUGCCUUACACAUGCAAGUCGAACGGCAGCACGGGAGCAAUCCUGGUGGCGAGUGGCGAACGGGUGAGUAAUAUAUCGGAACGUGCCCGGUCGUGGGGAUAACGUAGCGAAAGCUACGCUAAUACCGCAUACGAUCUACGGAUGAAAGCGGGGGAUCGCAAGACCUCGCGCGAUUGGAGCGGCCGAUAUCAGAUUAGGUAGUUGGUGAGGUAAAGGCUCACCAAGCCGACGAUCUGUAGCUGGUCUGAGAGGACGACCAGCCACACUGGGACUGAGACACGGCCCAGACUCCUACGGGAGGCAGCAGUGGGGAAUUUUGGACAAAUGGGCGCAAGCCUGAUCCAGCAAUGCCGCGUGCAGGAUGAAGGCCUUGGUUGUAAACUGCUUUGUACGGUAACGAAACGGUAGAGGCUCUAAUACA